GACAGAGGGUGCUAGCGUUGUUCGGAAUUACUGGGCGUAAAGGGCGCGUAGGCGGCUUGUUUAGUCGGGUGUGAAAUCCCGGGGCUCAACCCCGGAACUGCAUUCGAUACUGGCAGGCUAGAGACCGGAAGAGGUGGGUGGAAUACCCAGUGUAGAGGUGAAAUUCGUAGAUAUUGGGUGGAACACCGGUGGCGAAGGCGGCUCACUGGUCCGGUUCUGACGCUGAGGCGCGAAAAGCGUGGGGGAGCAAACAGG
rnacentral:rRNA from 1 species